rnacentral:tRNA from 1 species
GCCGGAGUGGCGGAAUUGGUAGACGCGCCGGACUCAAAAUCCGGUUCCCCGAGAGGGGAGUGUCGGUUCGAGCCCGACCUCCGGUA